CUGACGGAGCAACGCCGCGUGAGUGAUGAAGGUUUUCGGAUCGUAAAACUCUGUUGUUAGGGAAGAACAAGUACCGUUCGAAUAGGGCGGUACCUUGACGGUACCUAACCAGAAAGCCACGGCUAACUACGUGCCAGCAGCCGCGGUAAUACGUAGGUGGCAAGCGUUGUCCGGAAUUAUUGGGCGUAAAGCGCGCGCAGGCGGUUUCUUAAGUCUGAUGUGAAAGCCCCCGGCUCAACCGGGGAGGGUCAUUGGAAACUGGGGAACUUGAGUGCAGAAGAGGAGAGUGGAAUUCCACGUGUAGCGGUGAAAUGCGUAGAGAUGUGGAGGAACACCAGUGGCGAAAGGCGACUCUCUGGUCUGUAACUGACGCUGAGGCGCGAAUANCGUGGGGANCGAACAGGAUUACAUUACCCUGGUNNUCCCCCCCCGUAAACGAUGANUGCNUAAUUGUUAAGAGGG
rnacentral:rRNA from 1 species